GACGAACGCUGGCGGCAUGCCUAACACAUGCAAGUCGAACGGAGAUAUUUGGAAGCUUGCUUUUGGAUAUCUUAGUGGCGGACGGGCGAGUAACGCGUGAGCAACCUGGCCUUCAGAGUGGAACAACGUCUGGAAACGGGCGCUAAUACCGCAUAAUACAAGAGAGUCGCAUGGCUUUUUUGUCAAAGGAGAAAUCCGCUGAAGGAUGGGCUCGCGUCCGAUUAGCUAGAUGGGGUGGUAACGGCACACCAUGGCGACGAUCGGUAGCCGAACUGAGAGGUUGAUCGGCCGCAUUGGGACUGAGACACGGCCCAGACUCCUACGGGAGGCAGCAGUGGGGGAUAUUGGUCAAUGGGGGAAACCCUGAACCAGCAAUGCCGCGUGAGGGAAGAAGGUCUUCGGAUUGUAAACCUAAGUAGUCAGGGACGAAAGAAAUGACGGUACCUGAAGAGUAAGCUCCGGCUAACUACGUGCCAGCAGCCGCGGUAAUACGUAGGGAGCGAGCGUUGUCCGGAUUUACUGGGUGUAAAGGGUGCGUAGGCGGGAUGGCAAGUCAGAUGUGAAAUACCGGGGCUUAACUCCGGGGCUGCAUUUGAAACUGUCGUUCUUGAGUGAAGUAGAGGCAGGCGGAAUUCCUAGUGUAGCGGUGAAAUGCGUAGAUAUUAGGAGGAACACCAGUGGCGAAGGCGGCCUGCUGGGCUUUAACUGACGCUGAGGCACGAAAGCAUGGGGAGCAAACAGGAUUAGAUACCCUGGUAGUCCAUGCCGUAAACGAUGA
rnacentral:rRNA from 1 species